ensembl:lncRNA
UCAUUUUCUGAAUGUUGAGCUUUAAGCCAACUUUUUCACUCUCCACUUUCACUUUCAUCAAGAGGCUUUUGAGUUCCUCUUCACUUUCUGCCAUAAGGGUGGUGUCAUCUGUGACUGCAUAGACUAUAGCCUUCCAUGCUCCUCUGUCCAUGGAAUUCUCCAGGCAAGAAUACUGGAGUGAGGAGCCAUUUCUUUCUCCAGGUGUCUCUGAUGAUAAAGAAUCUGCCUAUGAUGCGGGAGAUCCACGUUCAAUACCUGGGUUCAGAAGAUCCCCUAGGAAAGGGAAUAGCUACCAACUGCAGUAUUCUUUGGAGAAGGCAAUGGCACCCCACUCCAGUACUUUUGCCUAGAAAAUCCCAUGGACGGAGGAGCCUGCUAGGCUGCAGUCCAUGGGGUCGAUAGAGUCGGACACGACUGAGCGACUUCACUUUCACUUUUCACUUCCAUGCAUUGGAGAAGGAAAUGGCAACCCACUCCAGUGUUCUUGCCUGGAGAAUCCCAGGGACGGUGGAGCCUGGUGGGCUGCCGUCUAUGGGGUCGCACAGAGUCGGACAUGACUGAAGUGACUUAGCAGCAGCAGCAGCAGCAGUAUUCUUGCCUGGAGAAUCCUAUGGAAAGAAGAGCCUGGUGGGCUACAGUCCAUGGGGUUGCAAAGAGUCUGACAGGACUGUGUGACUAAUGUUGUUCGGAAGUCAUAAUUAACAUCUGUCUCAGAAAUCACUUAGCAAUCCUUCACUUGUCAGGGAAGGAAAUUGAAGCUCAGAGAAGGUAACUCCAGAGUUGCAUUGUUAAUUAGUGGCAGUAUUAGAUUUCUAGUCAGAUGUGCUUUCCACCUUACUCUGAUGACCUGCUCAGCGACAGUUCUAAAAGAAUGCCAGUGGGAAGACAGCAAAUGGCUAUGUACAUGCUUUUGGGUUGGUAUGUGAUAUGUGAACUAGGGGGCUUUCCCAGUGGCUCAUCAGUAAAGAAUCUGCCUGCAAUGCAGGAGACAUGGGUUCAAUCCCUGGGUUAGGAAGAUCCCCUGGAGGAGGGUUUAGCAACCUGCUCCAGAUUUCUUGCCUGGCAAAUCCUACAGACAGAGGAGCCUGGCAGGCUAUGAUCCACUGGGUCGAAAAGAGUCAGACACA